CCCUUAGAUGUCCUGGGCCGCACGCGUGCUACACUGACGCCUACAGCGAGUACUUCCCAGCCCCGAGAGGUGGCUGGUAAUCAGCAAUAGGCGUCGUGAUGGGGAUAGGUCUUUGGAAUUAUGGAUCUUGAACGAGGAAUGCCUAGUAAGCGCAGGUCAUUAGCCUGCGCUGAUUAAGUCCCUGCCCUUUGUACACACCGCCCGUCGCUCCUACCGAUUUCGAGUGGUCCGGUGAAUCUUUCGGACUGCGCGCGGCCUCGUGCCGUGUCGCGGAAAGUCAGGUAAACCUUAUCACUUAGAGGAAGGAGAAGUCGUANCA
rnacentral:rRNA from 1 species